GUUUGUCUCCAGAAGAUAGAAGAAGCAAUGGGUGGAUAGUGAAAAGGCACAAAUUUAAGAUUGAUAGCCCCCAUGAAUCUAUCUGCAAAUGUCAAUGAGCACAUCAGAAAAGAUGAAGAAAAGAUGGAAGACCUGUACACUGGAAACAUCAGAACAAAAAUGGCUAACUGGAAGUUGAUACCCAAAAUAAAUGACUCUAUCCAGACUUGGAACAUUGUAGAUCCUCCUAAAUGAGAUUUUUAAUUGAUGGAGUGAAUUCAUUAGAAACUCUUACAGAGGAAAACAAAAGGAAAAAAGUAGAUACUGAAUACCUACUGUCCAGGCAAUGUUAUGAAACAACUCUGAGAACUGUUGAAUCAGUACACGUGUCUUAUAGUCACUGCAUAGAGAAAAUGAACCAGAUCUCCAGUUGAACUGGAAGACAGCAGUCCCAAGUACUUUGGGGUGAUUGCCCAGUGAUUUUAAAUUCUCUACCUGAAAUAAAGGCCCAUCUUUUAAGAAGAAUAUUCUUCUGAUGAUGUUGUAUGGCUGCAAGUAAUGGAGCUUCAUAAUCACCAAAGAAUUAGAGUUUAGGGUCACCUAAAAGGCAAUGGAUAGGUACAUGUGGGCAGGCAACAAGCCAUUAUCAACCAAGAAUUAUGCAAGAGAAAUGCCGUGAAGGAGAUCAUC